rfam:Tstilago hordei, Th4857-4, WGS project CAGI01000000 data, contig: THOR_scaffold_5.00041
GGCCGGUUGGCCCAAUGGUAAGGCGUCUGACUACGAUCUUAAUCGAGUGAUAAGUUAUCAGGAGAUUCUGGGUUCGAGCCCCAGGCUGGUCA